rnacentral:rRNA from 1 species
UACGGAGGGUGCGAGCGUUGUCCGGAAUCACUGGGCGAAAGGGCGCGUAGGUGGCCUGUGGAAGUCUGCGGUGAAAGCCCGGCGGCUCAACGCCGGGUCGGCCGUGGAUACUCUCGGGCUCGAGCUUACUAGAGGCAGAUGGAAUUCCGGGUGUAGCGGUGGAAUGCGUAGAGAUCCGGAAGAACACCGGUGGCGAAGGCGGUCUGCUGGGGUAAUGCUGACACUGGA